GUUUUUAACUGGUACGAUAGGAUCAAUUACACCUAGCGGUCUGAAUGAGCGUUUUUAACUGGUACGAUAGGAUCAAUUACACCUAGCGGUCUGAAUGAGUGUUUAGACUGGUACGAUAGGAUCAAUUACACCUAGCGGUCUGAAUGAGCGUUUUUAACUGGUACGAUAGGAUCAAUUACACCUAGCGGUCUGAAUGAGCGUUUUUAACUGGUAAGAUAGGAUCAAUUACACCUAGCGGUCUGAAUGAGCGUUUUAACUGGUACGAUAGGAUCAAUUACACCUAGCGGUCUGAAUGAGAGUUUUAACUGGUACGAUAGGAUCAAUUACACCUAGCGGUCUGAAUGAGCGUUUUUAACUGGUACGAUAGGAUCAAUUACACCUAGUUGUCUGAAUGAGCGUUUUUAACUGGUAAGAUAGGAUCAAUUACACCUAGCGGUCUGAAUGAGAGUUUUUAACUGGUAAGAUAGGAUCAAUUACACCUAGCGGUCUGAAUGAGAGUUUUUAACUGGUAAGAUAGGAUCAAUUACACCUAGCGGUCUGAAUGAGCGUUUUAACUGGUACGAUAGGAUCAAUUACACCUAGCGGUCUGAAUGAGCGUUUUUAACUGGUACGAUAGGAUCAAUUACACCUAGCGGUCUGAAGGAGUGUAUUAACUGGUAAGAUAGGUUCAAUUACACCUAGCGGUCUGAAUGAGUGUUUUUAACUGGUACGAUAGGAUCAAUUACACCCAGCGGUCUGAAUGAGAGUUUUUAACUGGUAAAAUAGGAUCAAUUACACCUAGCGGUCUGAAGGAGCGUUUUUAACUGGUACGAUAGGAUCAAUUACACCUAGAGGUCUGAAUGAGCGUUUUUAACUGGUACGAUAGGAUCAAUUACACCUAGCGGUCUAAAUGAGCGUUUUUAACUGGUACGAUAGGAACAAUUACACCUAGCGGUCUAAAUGAGCGUUUUUAACUGGUAAGAUAGGAUCAAUUACACCUAGCGGUCUGAAUGAGCGUUUUAACUGGUACGAUAGGAUCAAUUACACCUAGCGGUCUGAAUGAGCGUUUUAACUGGUACGAUAGCAUCAAUUACACCUAGCGGUGAGUGAAUUUAACAAUAGGAGAGGGGGAUAUAUAUAAUAUAGCCUACUAUAUUUAAUACGCCAUAAACUAUUGUUUUUUAAAAGUUUCACUAAUUAAUUUUAAUUAAUAACUUAAUAAUUAUGACACACCCCUCACUAUUGACAUUGGUUGCACUAAUAGCACUGUUUGUCUACAUAACCUGGUUCAAGUAUUCAUGACAUCACCCUGAAGAAGACACAGUGAUGCUGAAACGUUGGUAAAAACCCAAUCAAUUACUGGGAGUUUAAAUAUGGAGUUUAUAUAUGGAGUUUAUAUAUUUUAUAUGGAGUUUAUAUAUGGAGUUUAUAUAUGGAGUUUAUAUAUAGAGUUUAUACAUGGAGUUUAUAUAUGGAGUUUAUAUAUGGAGUUUAUAUAUGGAGUUUAUAUAUGGAGUUUAUAUAUGGAGUUUAUACAUGGAGUUUAUAUAUGGAGUUUAUAUAUGGAGUUUAUAUAUGGAGUUUAUAUAUUAUAUAUGGAGUUUAUACAUGGAGUUUAUACAUGGAGUUUAUACAUGGAGUUUAUAUAUGGAGUUUAUAUAUGGAGUUUAUAUAUAGAGUUUAUAUAUGGAGUGUGGGACUCUAUUUAAUUUGAUAGUUUAUAGUUUAUUCAUCGUUAGUCAGCACCUCCACACAACAUAUUUAUUCUUGGUGUGUAACAGCUUAAUGUUAUUUAUUGUCCCAGACCACAACAACAUAAUGUUUCUGGGUGUGUAACAGCUUAAUGUUAUUUAUUGUCCCAGACCACAACAACAUAAUGUUUCUGGGUGUGUAACAGCUUAAUGUUAUUUA
ensembl:lncRNA